AUCGAACGCUGGCGGCAGGCCUAACACAUGCAAGUCGAGCGGAUGAAGGGAGCUUGCUCCUGGAUUCAGCGGCGGACGGGUGAGUAAUGCCUAGGAAUCUGCCUGGUAGUGGGGGAUAACGUCCGGAAACGGGCGCUAAUACCGCAUACGUGCUGAGGGAGAAAGUGGGGGAUCUUCGGACCUCACGCUAUCAGAUGAGCCUAGGUCGGAUUAGCUAGUUGGUGGGGUAAAGGCCUACCAAGGCGACGAUCCGUAACUGGUCUGAGAGGAUGAUCAGUCACACUGGAGCUGAGACGCGGUCCAGCCUCCUACGGGAGGCAGCAGUGGGGAAUAUUGGACAAUGGGCGAAAGCCUGAUCCAGCCAUGCCGCGUGUGUGAAGAAGGUCUUCGGAUUGUAAAGCACUUUAGGUUGGGAGGAAGGGCAGUAAGUUAAUACCUUGCUGUUUUGACGUUACCAACAGAAUAAGCACCGGCUAACUUCGUG
rnacentral:rRNA from 1 species